CAAGCUCGGCAGGCAGAACAGAGAAGAAAUUCCACUGGGCAGCUUUUCCAAAGAUGUACCAAUUUUCUACAGAAGUAAUUCCAGCCCACUCCCGCCAUUGUUUUCUGGUGCAGCACAAAGCAUUCUCUGAAAAAUCUCUAAAAUGAUUAUCUAACAGAAGGCACUUUUGACAAUUGUUAUUGAUUUACGACGGUACAGGCCCCAACAGGCCAUCAGCCUGAGAGUUGCAACUGGCAGAGGAAGGAGAAGCCACAGCUACUGCUGUGGUUUAGAAAAGUGCUUCUCAAAGGAACAACCUUACAUAUGUCAAAGCUCCAAAAUGGUUGUUACAAUUUCCAGUUGUAACUUCAUGAAGUUAUGGGAGGAGGUAUGGCAGUCAAAUCCAGGAGAUAUCGGCUGACGAUUGGUCAAAUGUGAAAAUUUGGCUUGUGAGUAUCUUGGGGUCUUAACCGCUCUGACUGCUGACUGAAGAAAUCAGCAGCCUCCUGGCAGGCAGAACAUGUAUUUAAAAAAAUAUAUCUCCUUUGGGAGAUUUCUCAUAUACAAACAAUACUGAAGAAAGUUCUCGUAGACAAACAACAUACAAGACUGUAGACAAGUAGACGGGAGAUGAUGUUAAAAGUCAAAUUUCACCACAGGACACUAGAAUCUAAUCAUAACCCCCAAAUCUCAGAAACAAAUAAUAAACAUGACAUUGAAGGCCAAAUCGAGCAUCAGAGUUGAGUCUUUUACCAUCCUUAUUUGCCUAAGUUUAACUAUGUGGACACAUUUCCUCACAUUCACUGAUUUCAGGGCUGGAAGAACCGUUAGUGAUAAUCUCUUUUAAUAAAUAAGGAAACUGACACUAAAAGAGAUUAAGUGACUUGACUAAGAUCAGAUAGAACAGGCUAGAACCUAACUUCCUAGUGGAUAUACCUAAACUAGUAUAAGUAUAUGAUACAUGUAAAAGAAGAUACAUAAUACACAUGAUGGUCAUUCAAGUUUAAAAAACAGAACAGCAUCACAUGAACUUUCUACCAUAAACUGGGUGGCACCAUUCAAGGGCAGGAGGGCCUUGAAUUAGGAAGCUGGAAGAGAGUGAUGAAGGUUGGCAGAUAGCCACAGGCCAAGGAUGGGGAGGCCAGCCAGGGAGUAGAGAAGCUGCAGUGUCAGGAGCACCUGGCAGGUAAAGAGUAUUUGAGGUUCAGGAAGUCCUUAGCAGGAACAAGACAAGACACCUGUGGCAGGAGA